rnacentral:rRNA from 1 species
GACAGAGGGUGCAAACGUUGUUCGGAAUUACUGGGCGUAAAGCGCGUGUAGGCGGCUUGGCAAGUCGGGUGUGAAAGCCCUGGGCUCAACCUAGGAAGUGCACUCGAAACUGCUUCGCUUGAGUGUCGGAGAGGAAAGCGGAAUUCUCGUGGUAGAGGUGAAAUUCGUAGAUAUCGAGAGGAACACCGGUGGCGAAGGCGGCUUUCUGGACGAUAACUGACGCUGAGACGCGAAAGCGUGGGGGAGCAAACAGG